ACCCAGUGGAGGACAAGAAGUGAAUAAUACAAUGGCGUUUUGAAAUUGUCUGAGAACGUCUAUUCUUUCUCUAUAAAAGAUUGUGUUUAUCUACAUUUUUCAGAUUUUUUUUUUAGGGGUGUGUUCACUAAAGACCAUAAAUGAAAAACAACAACACAGGAUUAUAUGCUUAUUCAAAGUAAAUUGCUCAGGCCUAACAUUAACAUUGGAAAUUUCCUCGUUGAAACAGGUCCAAUAAAGAAUCCCAAGAAUAAAUACUCCAAGGCUAAUGGGUUCAGUCCAAUCUUAGGAUUUAUACGUUUUUGUGCUUUGUAUGUAUUCUUAGUCACCGCCUGCGUACUGUAAAUUACCUGUGCCAAGAAAAACACUCAGGAAUCCCAACCUGACUACACAGUAAAGAACCGAACUGUACACAAUGGUACUUGGCACAGAGAAAUUCUAACCACAGGGUAUAAAUCAACUGGCUUUGAUAGAGAGGAUAUUGAGCUUGGCCGUAGCAAAGCCCUUUUUCUUCUUCGGAGGAUGGAGACCACGUUCCUGGAGAAGAUCAUACUACAGUGGGGGAGGUGGCGGAUAUCGAGGACGUUCAUAUUCAGAUAUUGCUCGAGUUAUAAAUCCUAAUCCGUAUACGAAUCCUAGUGGUCCUUUUUGGACAUAUGGUUGAACCAGUUUGUUUGCUGAUUACAUCUUGGAAAGUGAUAUGUUUCAAAGUGAUAUUCUAUUUUAAGAAUAUUUUCGAAAAUUUGAUGGUUAUUAUUGUUCAAGUCAAAAAUUAAGAUAGUCAGUUGUAUCUCCGAAAUAAAGUGUUUUGUACAAUAAUCUACAA